GUUAGGGCCCGAGAAUCUGCAUUCUUCAUUGGACUCCCUGGUGCUGCUGGCAUUGGCUCCACAUGUUGAGAAGCUUGGAUUAGAGGAAAACACAGAAGUCUAGUUCGGCUGACUGGGAAGCAGCAGGUGGAGAGUUGGGUAGGGAGAUCUGUGAGGGAGGGGCUUGUGCAGGAAGGAGUUUAGGUUUUACUGAUUGAAGUGGGAAGCCAUUAGAAAGAUCGCCCUGGUGCUUUGUGGAGAACAGUUCACAGCAAGAAAGCAGGGAGACAGGUUAGGGGCUCUCGCAGCGAUUUAGGCCAGCAGUUAGGGCAGGUUGGGCUAGUAGUAACAGUGGAGGUGGUUGUUUUCAGUUAUCCCUUGGAAGUAGAGGUGUCAGGCCUUGCUGAUGACAGGAUCUGGGAUGUGAAGGAGAGAAAUGAGCCAAGGACAGCAACCAGAUAUGAAGCCUGGGCACCCUGCAGCUGGUCAAAUUUCCGUGAAAAAGUUGGUUCAAAUCAUUCAGCCUGGCAUUACUGGAAAUCUCUAACAAGAUUUACAGCGGUGCCACCCCAAUGAAUUCCACCACACUGAAUUCAUUGUUCAUUGAGAGAGAUUAGAAAAUGAAGAUACCAUGCCCCUUGGCUUCCCUGCUAAAGGAGACACUGGGAAAGGAGAGGAAUCUGACACUUUGGGGGUGCGACCCAGCAAUCUGCACUCUGUCAAACUCGUGAGGUGAUGCCCAUGCAUGCACAACUUGGAGCACAUCGUCUGACCUCAGGUAAUCACGGUGAUCCCAGCUGCAUUCAUUUCUUGGGGCUGCCAGAACAAACUACCGCAGACGGAACGGCUUCAGAAGAAAUAUGUAUUCUUUCCCAGUUGUGGAGGCCGGAAGUCUGAGAUCAAGAUGUUGGCAGAACUGGUUUCUUGUGAGACUGAGGGAAGGAUCUGUUCCAGGCUUCUCUUCUUGGCUUGUAGAUGGCCAUCUUAUCCCGGUGUCUCUUCUCAUUGUCUUCCUUUAAGUGUGCCUGGGUCCAGGUUUUUCCAUUUCAUAAGGACACGGUCACAAUAGAUUAGUGCCUACAUUCAUGAUUUUUUUCUUAACUAAUUACAUCCACAACAAUCUAUUUCUAAAUAAGGUCACACUGGGGGUUAGGACUUCACUGCAACUUUGAGGGGACACAUUUCAACCCAUAAUGCCAUCCCAUGCCAGUGGGAAGCUUAAGGACCAGGCAAAUGCUUAGCAGAGCGUGGCUUUCCCUGAGUCUACGGUUCUUGGCUGGGCAAGUGACUUAGCUACUUAGCUUGCACCUGGCAGGUGUUGACUAAAG
rnacentral:lncRNA from 1 species